rnacentral:rRNA from 1 species
CACGUAGGGGACGAGCGUUGUCCGGAUUCAUUGGGCGUAAAGCGCGCGUAGGCGGCUCGGAAAGUCGGUCGUGAAAUGCCGGGGCUCAACCCCGGGACUGCGUCCGAUACUUCCGGGCUGGAGGUAGGUAGGGGAGAUCGGAAUUCCUGGUGUAGCGGUGAAAUGCGUAGAUAUCUGGAGGAACACCGGUGGCGAAGGCGGCGUUCUGGACUGCAACUGACACUGAGGAACGAAAGCCAGGGGAGCAAACGGG